GACGAACGCUGGCGGCGUGCUUAACACAUGCAAGUCGAACGAUGAACCCGGAGCUUGCUCUGGGGGAUUAGUGGCGAACGGGUGAGUAACACGUGAGUAACCUGCCCUGGACUCUGGGAUAAGCGUUGGAAACGACGUCUAAUACCGGAUAGGACCUUGGAUCGCAUGAUCUGGGGUGGAAAGUUUUUUCGGUCUGGGAUGGACUCGCGGCCUAUCAGCUUGUUGGUGAGGUAGUGGCUCACCAAGGCGUCGACGGGUAGCCGGCCUGAGAGGGUGACCGGCCACACUGGGACUGAGACACGGCCCAGACUCCUACGGGAGGCAGCAGUGGGGAAUAUUGCACAAUGGGCGAAAGCCUGAUGCAGCAACGCCGCGUGCGGGAUGACGGCCUUCGGGUUGUAAACCGCUUUUAGUAGGGAAGAAGGGCUUCGGCUUGACGGUACCUGCAGAAAAAGGACCGGCUAACUACGU
rnacentral:rRNA from 1 species